rnacentral:rRNA from 1 species
UACUAGGGGUGCAACGUUGCCGUGAAUCAUUGGGCGUAAAGCGCACGUAGGCGGUUCGUAUGAUCGGAUGUGAAAGCCUCGCGUAACCGGGGAACUGCGUCCGAUACUGGAUGACUUGAGUUCGGGAGAGGGAUGCGGAAUUCCAGGUGUAGCGGUGAAAUGCGUAGAUAUCUGGAGGAACACCGGUGGCGAAGGCGGCAUCCUGGACCGGCAUUGACGCUGAGGCGCGAAAGCCAGGGGAGCAAACGGG